AGAGUUUGAUCAUGGCUCAGGGUUAACGCUGGCGGCGUGCCUAACACAUGCAAGUCGAACGGUUCUAAGCGCGAGCUUAGGAUAGUGGCGAACGGGUGAGUAAAAGGUAGGAAUCUACCCCUUGGACGGAGAUAGCUACUGGAAACGGUAGGUAAACUUCGAUAAGCCCGAGAGGGGAAAGUGGUGAGACAGCCGAGGGAUGAGCCUACUCUCCAUCAGGUAGUUGGUGAGAUAAAAGCUUACCAAGCCGAUGACGGAUAACCGGUGUGAGAGCAUGAACGGUCACAAGGGCACUGAGAGACGGGCCCUACUCCUACGGGAGGCAGCAGUGGGGAAUCUUGGACAAUGGGCGAAAGCCUGAUCCAGCGACGCCGCGUGGAGGAAGAAGUCCUUCGGGAUGUAAACUUCUGAACUAGCCGAAUAAAAGGCCUGUGGACACACAGGAGAAGAAAGUAGGCUAGGAAAAGUCCCGGCUAACUACGUGCCAGCAGCCGCGGUAAUAAU
rnacentral:rRNA from 1 species